rnacentral:rRNA from 1 species
UCCAGACUCCUACGGGAGGCAGCAGUGGGGGAUAUUGCACAAUGGGGGGAACCCUGAUGCAGCGACGCCGCGUGGGUGGAGGAGCGUUUCGGCGCAUAAAGCCCUAUCGGCAGGGAAGAAGGAGGACGGUACCUGACUAAGAAGCCCCGGCUAACUACGUGCCAGCAGCCGCGGUAAUACGUAGGGGGCAAGCGUUAUCCGGAUUUACUGGGUGUAAAGGGGGCGCAGACGGCAGCGCAAGCCAGGAGUGAAAGCCCGGGGCCCAACCCCGGGACUGCUCUUGGAACUGCGCGGCUGGAGUGCAGGAGGGGCAGGCGGAAUUCCUGGUGUAGCGGUGAAAUGCGUAGAUAUCAGGAGGAACACCGGUGGCGAGGGCGGCCUGCUGGACUGCGACUGACGUUGAGGCCCGAAAGCGUGGGGAGCAAACAGGAUUAGAUACCCCCGUA